ACCAAAUACACCCUUAGAAGUCUAAGGUCUCGCUUUCUCUCGGCGCAUGAUAACUAACGUGCGCGUCCAUGGGGGAAAGAGAACGAGAAUCCCUUCGCCGAAGGCAAUCAAAGCUCUGGGAUCUGCUGCAAGUGGAGCUGGGCAGCAGAAAUCGAAAGGAACACCACCAAUUACUGUUAAUCGAGAGCAUGGGCGAAGGUACAUAGCCUUAAGGGUGGUCAACUGACACCCUUUGACAAAAUAUUAUAUUGUAUAUAUAGGUAAAAUAUUAGAUUUUAAUGGUAUAUAACAUAUAGUGAACACCCUUUAUCGGGGAUUUUUUACUUAUUUCAAGUUUAAACAUUUUAAAUAAAAUUUCUGCUUUCGCCACUGAUCGAGAGGAUGUACCGGAACAAACCAUUGAAAUAGAGCUAGGGCAAACUAUGGAAUUUGUGGAUACAAUUGAGCAAUCGGAGUGGAGGAAGGACUCACAAGCAUCGGGAAGUCAGAGUGAACUAUCAUGGGCAGACGAGGUGGAAGCAUUGGCAGAUUUGGAGAUGAAGGCAUCAAUUUGGGACAACUUUGAUAUAGCAAAUAGUGUCGAAUGCUGGUUUCAAGCUGAAAUUCGUUUCACCGGACAAACAUGGUGAGUCGUCCAUCUGUGAAAUUGAACUAGAAGAUAUAAGCACGGAAAUAGAAUACUGGAAAAAUGACAUAGUAUGCUACGUGUUAGGAGCUUACCCAUCAUUGUUUUGUAUUGAAUGGCUAUAUUCAGAAGAUUUAGGGAAAACAUGGAAUAAAUAAGGUCUUUAUGUUAAAGAAUGGUAUAGUACUGGUUUGGUUUGAUACUGCUAUUGGUAAAAAUGAUGUGAUCCAAGGAGGGAUAUAUCAUUUUGACAACAAACCAUUGAUUGUAAAAUUUUGGGAGCCAGAUACGAAGUUCACAAGGGAAGCACUAUAUACAGUCCCUAUUUGGGUGAAAUUGCCAGGAUUGAAUUUCAAAUACUGGAGUCUUAAGGGUCUGAGUAAAAUAGGGAGUCUUAUUAGAAAAGCUAUAAUGGUGGACCAUAACACAGAGAAAAAGAUGGGGUUGAAUUUCGCAAGAUUAUUGAUUGAAGUGGAAGUUGAUCCAAAUCUACCGGAUAAAGUAAUUUUCAGAAAUGAGAAAGGGAACCCGAUUGAGCAGAAGGUGCAAUAUUAUUGGAAACCUACCUUGUGUGCCUGUUGCCACAAAUAUGGGCACUCAGAGGAGGAAUGCAGGAAAAGGAAAAAUGAUCAGCCAGCUUCCCCAAAGCAUCAAAAAGGAAAAGAUUAGAUAGAAGAAGAUGUAAUCCCAGCAACUAAAGCUAAGCAGAGGACAACAGAUGGAAAUAAGGAAGAGGAAAAAGGGAAUACACAGAAGAUUACAGGGGACACAGAAGGAACUCGAGGCAAUGUAAAGAACCACCAGAACAUAGGAAGAACAGCUUGGGUGACACCUUAGAACACUAUCAAACAUCCACCAAAACAUCAUGAGCAGGAAGGAGGUCAACAGAAUUCAUCCAGAUAAUGGAUAGGCCAGAGCCUAACAAAGUGUUACCUAGGAGCCCACAUAGGAAAGGGGGAGGUACUGACUUACCUAUCUCAUAGGAAAAUAAUAAUAUUUUAUGGUGGAAUGUUAUGGGCCUCAAUGCCCCUAACAAACAAAAUGAGGUAAAACUCCUUUGUAGUAGAGAAGGAAUUGGUUUGGCAGGUCUAAUGGAGACCAAAAUAAAAGGAAACAAGAUUGAGCAAGUAGCUAAUAAAUUGUUUGGAGGAUGGGGGUCUAUGACUAACUUAGACUACCGUCCAAAUGGAAGAAUAUAGUUAGUAUGAAUUACAUGUGAAGUGGUGUAUAUAUCAUUACAAAAAAUAAUGAUGCUAACAGUGGUGUAUGCUUUCAACACUAAAGAGGAAAUAAGACCUUUAUGGAAUUAUUUAGAAGUAGUGGGUGCAAAUGUUAGUCAACCAUAGAUUAUAAUGGGAGACUUUAAUGUUGUAUUGUACAUGGAUGAUCGAAUUAGGGGCAAUCCAGUUAGUAUGGCGGAGGUUAAGGAAUUUCAUGAAUGUGUGGAGAACUGUGGACUCCUCGAAUUGCCUAAACAGGGGAGCAUGUAUACAUGGAAUGAUAAACAUGGUGGAAGUAGAUUUUUCUCAAAAAUUGACGGGAUAUUUGUGAACUCAGAAUGGUUGGAUAGUAUGCCUGACUUCAGCACUACUUUCCCGCCUGAGGAGAUUAGUGAUCAUAGUCCAAUGAAGUUAUCUUUGCCGAACUCCCCAAAGAAAAGAAGAAAACCAUUCAAAUAUUGUAAUGUGUGGUCUAGUCAUCCUUUAUUUCUAGAAAGGGUGAAAGUUGGAUGGAACUUGAGCAUAGAAGAAUGUCAAAUGAUGAGGAUAGUGAGGAAAAUGAAACCGUUGAAAAGUGAUAUGAGUAAGAUGAAUGGUCAACAUUUCAGAAAUAUACUCACCAAAGUGGAAGAUGAUAGGCAAGUUCUGAUGCAAGUUUAGUAAACACUACAAAAGGAUCCACAUAACCAAUAACUACAGCAAAAGGAAAAAGACGCACAUCAGAAAUUCAAAAGAUCCUCGUAUUUGGUUGAGCUAUUCCUGCAACAAGGGAGUAAGCCCACAUGGAUAAAAUUGGGAGAAGAUAAUACAAGGUAUUUCUUCUCCAUAAUUAAACAUAGGAAGCUGCAACAAGCUAUUAUCCAGUUAAGGGAAAAACAUGACAGGCUACAGUCAGACCAGGAAGUUGUUACUCAAAUACUAGUGGACUUCUAUAAAGACCUUCUGGGGGAAAAAGAAAAGGAAAUAACUAAUGCAUUUGGGAGUUUCUAAUGAAUGGAUAUGUUUUAUCUGUAGAGGAUCAGUUGAAAUUACUAAGACCUUAUACAGCUAAGGAUGUAAAGGAGGCAAUGUUUGGUAUUGAUAAAAAUAAAAGUUCGGGGCCAGAUGGCUAUGGAAGUGGAUUCUUCCAAGAUACUUGGAGUGUGGUAGGAGAGGAGGCAGUAGGAGCUGUACUGGAAUUUUUUGAGAAUGGAAAGCUACUAAAACAGAUCAACUCAACAUCAAUCACCCUGAUACCUAAGGUGGAGAUGCCAUAGAAUGCCAGCCAAUUUAGACCCAUAUCAUUGUUGCAAUGUCCUUUACAAAUGCAUAUCUAAAAUGAUCUGUGCAAGACUUAAGGACAUACUUCCACUGAUUGUGGAUAAGAAUCAGGAAGUAUUUGUUGAGGGUAGAUCACUCAUUCACAAUGUGCUUAUAUGCCAUGACCUCUUAAGAUACUACAGCAGAAAGAUAUCACUCAGGUAUCUUAUGAAGAUUGACUUGAGGAAAGCAUAUGAUAUGGUGAGUUGGGAUUUCAUUGAAGAAGCUUUGAAUGGAUUUGGGUUCCUUAGAUCAUUUACUCAAUUGAUCAUGACUUAUGUAACCUCUACAAAAUUCACAGUUAAGGUUAAUGGGGAAGGAUUUGGCUUCUUUGAAGGUAGAAAAGGACUGAGGCAAGAUGGUCUUUUGCAAAGGAAAUUUAGCAUCUAUAAGCAGAAUGAUGGGAGCACUAAACCACCUUAGUGCUGUGACAGGCUUGGUGGAAAACAUAGAGAAGUCAAACAUCUUUCUAGCUGGCAUGGAAGAGGAUGAACAGACUAGGAUCUUGCAGUAUACAGGAUUCUCAAAAGGGACACUGCCUAUUAGGUACUUGGGAUUGCCCCUUUCAUCUAAGAAGUAGAAUAAACUAGAGUGUUUUCAAUUGGUGGAAAAGAUAACAACAAGAAUAAAGCAAGUCUAUGCAAAGAACCUUUCCUAUGCUGGUAGAUUAUAAGUGAUCAAUGCAAUAUUGUUCUCUAUAUACAAUUUCUAGGGCGCAGUUUUCAUCUUGCCUCAAAGUGUAUUGAACGAGGUCGACAGGAAAUACAGAGAUUACCUAUGGGGGGCAAUGAGGAGAGAAGGAAAAUGGCAUUAGUUGCUUGGGACAAAGUGUGUGUGCAUAAAAAAUAUGGGGGGCUUAAUAUUAAAAGUUGCAGGAAAUGGAAUAUAGCAUAUGUGGGCAAACUGCCUUGGCAAGUGGCUGUGAAGAAAGAUGUGUUAUGGGUAAAAUGGGUAAAUGACGUAUAUUUGAAGACAAAUGGAGAUGUCCGGAAUCACACUCCCCCACGGGAUUGUAGCUGGUACUGGAAAAAAAAUAAUUUCCCUUAAAGAUAUGAUGAAGCAUUUGUAUCAGAAUGGUAAGCAUGUCCUGACCACUAAAGGUGAAUACUCUGUAAGCAGAAGCUAUUUAACUUUGCUAGGGAAUCCUACAAAAAUGAGUGUUGCAAAUCUGGUGUGGAGUGCUAUCAUGCUGCCUAAACAAAGAGUAAUUCUAUGGUUGGCAUAUCAAGAGAGGUUGCUAACAAAGGAAAGAUUGUAGAGACUACAAGUGCCUAAUGCCGAUAACAAAUGCAGCCUAUGUACAGCAAAUACUAGGGAAACACAGCUCCACUUAUUUACCACAUGUAAUUGGAUCACAAUGGUAAGAAAUGCUAUAACAAAUUGGGCGGGGAUUCAACUAGCACAAGCAGAUCCAGCAACUAGCAUAAGAUGGAUUAAGAGGAGGAGAUGGAAGAAAUUCAAGGAGGUAGCUGCUGCAAUUGUGAGAGCAACUAUAUACUAUACUUGGAAAGCAAGAAACUGAAAAAUAUUUAGAAACAUAGAUGUAAAUACAGAUUUUGUAAUAGGGCAGAUACAAAGAGAGAUUAGGGAAAGGAUAGAAUAGAUAGGGAAUAUAAAGAGAGCUACGAAAUGUUAGAGUUUGAUACAAAGGAUUUGUAACUAGUGUUUGUUUGUUUGUUUGUUGUUUCGGAGAUUCAGAGAUUGUAACACUUCCUAGGAGGUGGUUAUAAUACUGAUCGCUCCAACAGGUUGUAAAGAAUCAUUUGGUUUA